rnacentral:rRNA from 1 species
UACAGAGGGGGCAAGCGUUGUUCGGAAUUACUGGGCGUAAAGGGCGCGUAGGCGGCCACCUAAGUCAGACGUGAAAUCCCUCGGCUCAACCGGGGAACUGCGUCUGAUACUGGGUGGCUUGAAUUCGGGAGAGGAAUGCGGAAUUCCAGGUGUAGCGGUGAAAUGCGUAGAUAUCUGGAGGAACACCAAUGGCGAAGGCAGCUCGCUGGGACGUUACUGACGCUGAGACGCGAAAGCGUGGGGAGCAAACAGG